UUCUGGUUGAUCCUGCCGGAGGCUACCGCUAUUGGAGUUCGAUUAAGCCAUGCGAGUCGAGAGUCUUAGGGACUCGGCGUACCGCUCAGUAACACGUGGGUAACCUGCCCUAUGCUGGGGAAUAACCUCGGGAAACUGAGAAUAAUACCCCAUAGUUCACCACGCCUGGAACGGUGGGUGGAUGAAAGCUCCGGCGGCAUAGGAUGGGCCUGCGACGUAUCAGGUUGUAGGGGGUGUAACGUACCCUCUAGCCAUCAACGCGUACGGGUGUUGGGAGACAUAGCCCGGAGAUGGAUUCUGAGACACGAAUCCAGACCCUACGGGGUGCAGCAGGCGCGAAAACUUGGCAAUGCGAGCAAUCGUGACCAGGGAACUCCAAGUGGCUGGGGUAAUACCCAGUUUUUUCUUGACUCUUCAAAGGUCUUGGAAUAAGGGGUGGGUAAGGACGGUGCCAGCCGCCGCGGUAAUACCGGCGCCUCAAGUGGUAGUCGCUUUUAUUGGGCCUAAAACGUCCGUAGCCGGUCUGGUGCAUUCGUGGGUAAAUCAACCCGCUCAACGGGUUGAAUUCUGCGAGCACGGCCAGACUUGGGACCGGGAGAGGUGUGGGGUACUCUCAGGGUAGGGGUAAAAUCCUGUCAUCCUGAGAGGACCACCUGUUGCGAAGGCGCCACACUAGAACGGAUUCGACGGUCAGGGACGAAACCUAGGGGCACGAACCGGAUUAGAUACCCGGGUAGUCCUAGGUGUAAACGCUGUGGACUUGA
rnacentral:rRNA from 1 species